CCUGCAUCAGCAGGCGGACUCUCAACCACUGCGCCACCAGGGAAGCCUGGACUUCUUCCCUUAAUAAAUGAAGAAUGGGAGACUCCAGGUGGCCUCAUGGUUGAGGUUUCAAGACGAGUGAAGAAAGAUAAAAGCAAAGUAAAAGAAGCUCAGGUUGAAUUACUCACUUUGACUUGAAUAUACUUCUGUGAGGAGUUACAUCAGCAUUAUGAUUGAAUAAGGCAUCUAGAAAUUUGAGGUGCCAUCUAUUGCUUCCCUGGUGUCCAGCAUAGAUAAAGAAAUGUGAUAUAUGACUGUGGGGCGACCAUACCAGGGUUAUGAGAGAACAGAAAUGUGUAAAGUGCCUGCAUGUGGCCAACACCAGAGAGAAGAAGUGAAAAAAGUAAAGGUAACUCAUAAAUAUUCUCAGCCAUUUUUUCAGCUAUGAACAUCUACCUAUGCACUGUGUACAUAACACCAAAUGUACAUCUUUUCUAUGCAUAUGCAUAACUCUGUUCUUGGUAUAACCGAAAACAAACCACUAGCUACAGAAAAACACACAUGAUUAUAUUUUACUUAUACCAAGGUUAAAAGUG